rnacentral:lncRNA from 1 species
UGUACUCCUACAUUAAGGAAAUGGAAUUCAACAACAAACCCAGUAUAUUCCCACCUAAUGGGGUCUGGGGAGGGUAGAAUGUACGCAGUCCAUACCAGUACCUCUAAAGAAGUAUUAGGGAAAUGGCAUAGAUUAUUUUAAAUGGGCAGAUUGCAGAAAAAAAAGAGGAAUGAAAAGGAACAAAAUAUAGAGGAAUGAAAAAAUAAGAAAGUAAGCAGAUUGCAUAUUGCAGAUUUAAAAAGAACCAAAGAAAAAAAAAUGCCUUAUUGGUUAAUGAGAUAGAAGAAAAAAAUAAAGUAGCAGAAGAAGAAAGACAGAAGCGAAAUAGAGGAGAUAGAAGAAGAAAAAAGACGAAAGAAGAAGAUUUACCUAAAGUCUGAAGUUGCCUGAGAGUCGACUUUAAAGUUUGGGGUGUGUAAGUAACAAAUAAACCCUUAUUUUAUGUUUUAAGUUUUAAAUUGCAACUCUAGUUUUUUAAAUACAAAAGGAGACGUUUCUAUCGCCUCAUGGCAUCACCUGUCACCUUUGUGAACUUGCCUUGCCUUGCCAGUAAUAAGCGACCUUGCCUCGCCUCUCACCACAGGCGCUUAGUGAGUGCCUUUCACAACAUUGCUCAGGAAAAGAAUCUUUAUUGCAAAGAGUGACCUUUGAUCGUUCCCCUAUCUUGUUACAAUGUGGCAACAACAGGGGAGCUAAUGAGUUUCAAGUUUAAAAGUUGGUGGUUGCAUGCUGAAAGAUUCAAAGAUAGAGGCAUGGUGCGACUCAUUCGUAGUUAGUGGUAGGCCCGAGUAUAUAUUGGCCUCAAAUUUGAAGUUGUUGGAGGGGAAAUUUAAGGAAGGGACCUCAUGCUCCGUCGCGGGAAUCACAUGAUGAGCAGAAAUCAGAUCUCUCUAGUUGGGUGUGGGGAUUUUUUGGCAGUGGGGGUUCAGGGGAUGUGACACAUUAUAGAGAUAAGCCUCCAUUGGUGUUGGUUGUGUAUGACUAAUAAAGGGCUGAAAAUUGCUUUAGAGAGACCGGAAAAAGUUAAGAAAAAAAAAGGAAACUCAACCUAUGGAAACCUAGACACGGAGGGAGAAACUCACCUCAAAAAGGCAACAAUGACUUUGAUACUAUGUAGAAUUUUGAGAAGAAUAAAAGUUUUCUUAUAUUUUUGUGUAUAUUCACAUCCCAUUAGAAACUAUAUUUACAUAAUAAAACCUAUAACCAAUUAAGGAAAGACAAUCAAUUCAAUAAAAGGAGAUAUUAUAUUCCUAUAAUUACACAACAACAACAAUAUACCUAGAAUAUUCCCA